rnacentral:rRNA from 1 species
UGAGCGUGUAAAUGACUCUUGGCAAUGGAUAUCUUGGCUCUCGUGUCGAUGAAGAACGUAGCGAAAUGCGAUACUUGGUGUGAAUUGCAGAAUCCCGUGAACCAUCGAGUCUUUGAAUGCAAGUUGCGCUCGAGGCUAUUAGGUCGAGAGCUCGUCUGUUUGGGCGUCAUGC